rnacentral:rRNA from 1 species
ACUCCUGCGGGAGGCAGCAGUGGGGAAUAUUGGACAAUGGGCGCAAGCCUGAUCCAGCCAUGCCGCGUGAGUGAUGAAGGCCCUAGGGUUGUAAAGCUCUUUCACCGGUGAAGAUAAUGACGGUAACCGGAGAAGAAGCCCCGGCUAACUUCGUGCCAGCAGCCGCGGUAAUACGAAGGGGGCUAGCGUUGUUCGGAUUUACUGGGCGUAAAGCGCACGUAGGCGGACUAUUAAGUCAGGGGUGAAAUCCCGGGGCUCAACCCCGGAACUGCCUUUGAUACUGGUAGUCUUGAGUUCGAGAGAGGUGAGUGGAAUUCCGAGUGUAGAGGUGAAAUUCGUAGAUAUUCGGAGGAACACCAGUGGCGAAGGCGGCUCACUGGCUCGAUACUGACGCUGAGGUGCGAAAGCGUGGGGAGCAAACAGGAUUAGAAACCCUAGUAGUCCCAUG